rnacentral:rRNA from 1 species
GUCUACAGCCAUGCUACCCUGAAUAAGCCCAAUCUCGUCUGAUCUCAGAAGGUAAGCAGGGUCAGGCCUCUUUAGUCCUUGGAUGGAAGACCACCUAGGAAGACCAGGUGCUAUAGGCA